AGGAGAAGAGACUGUCAGAUUAGCCAAGGAUGAUUGCCUGGAAAACCAAACAGGGAAGGUUUUUAAUUUCCAAGACCUGUCAUUACAAGGUUUCAGGCAAGUCAUCCUUGGCUACCAAACAAGACUCUUGUCU
rfam:Corchorus capsularis cultivar CVL-1 contig09613, whole genome shotgun sequence.